rnacentral:rRNA from 1 species
UACGUAGGGUGCAAGCGUUAAUCGGAAUACUGGGCGUAAAGCGUGCGCAGGCGGUUUUGCAAGCCGGAUGUGAAAUCCCCGGGCUUAACCUGGGAAUGGCAUUUGGGACUGCAAGGCUGGAGUGCGGCAGAGGAGACUGGAAUUCCUGGUGUAGCAGUGAAAUGCGUAGAUAUCAGGAGGAACACCGAUGGCGAAGGCAGGUCUCUGGGCUGACACUGACGCUCAUGCACGAAAGCGUGGGGAGCGAAACAAGG